rnacentral:misc_RNA from 1 species
CAAUAUCAAAAUACUUCCAUUAAAUGAUGAAGCAAAAAUCAUCAACGAAAUCCUACGUCGAGGAAAGAAGCAACAGCCAGUUGUGCGAUAGCCGAUCAAAGAGGUUUAACUUCUCAACAAAUUCUUCAAUGUCAAAUACUGUCUGAGUGAUAUAAGUCAUGACUUCUAAACAGAAUUGAUAAUAUCAGUGUAAAGGUAACAGGGUGGUAGAAGGGGAUCAAUUCCGUUAUUGAAAAAUCCUGAUUACGAGAACCCGAUUUCGUGGAAAAACGUCGCCGUAAUAAUGUAAAAUAGAAAAAGGAUUAUGAUGGCCAAGCCAGGGCCGAAAAACUGUCUCGUGUGAUUGUCACACUUUUUGGAGCAGUUGGCCUUGUUUGGGGAUACACGAUACAGCAGUUUUCACAAACUAUUUACAUUCUCGGAGCUGGUUUUGUCCUAGCUGGAAUAGUUACUGUACCCCCAUGGUCGAUGUAUCGCCGCAAGCCUCUUGAUUGGCAGAAACCUCAACCAGAAGUCCCCACAAAGUUCAAGAAGAAGAAAUAAUAACCAUUGGAAGUGGAAUAAAAGAAUUAAUAUCUAUUAGCUGUCAGUUUUAUUUUUCUGAGUCAAAAAGUACCGAGGUAUACAUCACAGAAUCACUGAAUCGCAAUGCUGAUUCUGACACUGCAGCGUUCCUUUGAAUAUAUCUGUGUGCCUGUACCACCGCUGCCUAUGUUUCUACUACAAUGAAAAAGCUCUUGACACUAUUAUAAUAUUGACUUAUAGCUACGUCCGUGUACAUACUACGUAUGUACGUA